rnacentral:rRNA from 1 species
CUACGGGGGGCUCCAGUCGAGAAUCUUCCGCAAUGGGCGCAAGCCUGACGGAGCAAUGCCGCGUGAGGGAUGACGGCCCUAGGGUUGUAAACCUCUGUCAGAAGGGACGAAGAACGUGACGGUACCUUCAGAGGAAGCCAUGGCUAACUACGUGCCAGCAGCCGCGGUAAUACGUAGAUGGCGAGCGUUAUUCGGAUUUACUGGGCGUAAGGGGUCCGUAGGGGGUCUGCCAAGUCUGAUGUGAAAUCCUGCGGCUCAACCGCGGAACUGCAUUGGAAACUGGCGGACUAGAGUGUGCGAGGGGUGAGCGGAAUUCCUGGUGUAGCGGUGGAAUGCGUAGAUAUCAGGAAGAACACCGAUGGCGAAGGCGGCUCACUGGCGCAUCACUGACCCUGAGGGACGAAAGCGUGGGUAGCAAACAGGAUUAGAUACCCCUGUAGUC